GACGAACCGUGCGAACGUUAUUCGGAAUCACUGGGCUUAAAGCGCGUGUAGGCGGGCCGGCACGUCGGUCGCUGAAAUCCCCCGGCUCAACCGGGGAAGUGGCGCCGAUACGACCGGCCUGGAGGGGGGUAGGGGGCGCUGGAACUCACGGUGGAGCGGUGAAAUGCGUUGAGAUCGUGAGGAACGCCCGCGGCGAAAGCGAGCGCCUGGACCCUUUCUGACGCUGAGACGCGAAAGCCAGGGGA
rnacentral:rRNA from 1 species